rnacentral:rRNA from 1 species
GGUGAAGCGAAUUUCGCCUGAGGAUGAGCCCGCGUCUGAUUAGCUGGUUGGUGGGGUAAUGGCCCACCAAGGCGACGAUCAGUAGCUGGUCUGAGAGGAUGAUCAGCCACACUGGGACUGAGACACGGCCCAGACUCCUACGGGAGGCAGCAGUGGGGAAUUUUCCGCAAUGGGCGAAAGCCUGACGGAGCAACGCCGCGUGGGGGAUGAAGGCCUCUGGGCUGUAAACCUCUUUUCUCAAGGAAGAAGACAUGACGGUACUUGAGGAAUAAGCCACGGCUAAUUCCGUGCCAGCAGCCGCGGUAAUACGGGAGUGGCAAGCGUUAUCCGGAAUUAUUGGGCGUAAAGCGUCCGCAGGCGGCCCUGUAAGUCUGUCGUUAAAGCGUGGAGCUUAACUCCAUUUCAGCGAUGGAAACUACAGGGCUUGAGUGUGGCAGGGGCAGAGGGAAUUCCCGGUGUAGCGGUGAAAUGCGUAGAUAUCGGGAAGAACACCAGUGGCGAAGGCGCUCUGCUGGGCCAUAACUGACGCUCAUGGAAAAGCCAGGGGAGCGAAAGGGAUUAGAUACCCCUGUAGUCCUGGCCGUAAACGAUGAACACUAAGUGUCGGGGGAAUCGACCCCCUCGGUGUCGUAGCCAACGCGUUAAGUGUUCCGCCUGGGGAGUACGCACGCAAGUGUGAAACUCAAAGGAAUUGACGGGGGCCCGCACAAGCGGUGGAGUAUGUGGUUUAAUUCGAUGCGACGCGAAGAACCUUACCAGGGUUUGACAUCCUGCGAAUCCCUUGGAAACUUGGGAGUGCCUUCGGGAGCGCAUAGACAGGUGGUGCAUGGCUGUCGUCAGCUCGUGUCGUGAGAUGUUGGGUUAAGUCCCGCAACGAGCGCAACCCACGUCUUUAGUUGCCAGCAUUCAGUUGGGCACUCUAGAGAGACCGCCGGUGAUAAACCGGAGGAAGGUGUGGAUGACGUCAAGUCAUCAUGCCCCUUACAUCCUGGGCUACACACGUACUACAAUGCUACGGACAGAGGGCAGCAAGCUCGCGAGAGUUAGCAAAUCCCAUAAACCGUGGCUCAGUUCAGAUCGUAGGCUGCAACUCGCCUACGUGAAGGAGGAAUCGCUAGUAAUCGCGGGUCAGCAUACUGCGGUGAAUACGUUCCCGGGCCUUGUACACACCGCCCGUCACACCAUGGAAGUUGGCCAUGCCCGAAGUCGUUACUCCAACCCUUGUGGAGGAGGACGCCGAAGGUGGGGCUGAUGACUGGGGUGAAGUCGUAACAAGAUA